rnacentral:rRNA from 1 species
UACAGAGGGUGCAAACGUUGCUCGGAAUUACUGGGCGUAAAGCGCGUGUAGGCGGAUCUGCAAGUCAGAUGUGAAAUCCCCGGGCUCAACCCGGGAACUGCAUCUGAAACUGCAGGUCUAGAGUGCCGGAGAGGGUGGCGGAAUUCCUGGUGUAGAGGUGAAAUUCGUAGAUAUCAGGAGGAACACCGGUGGCGAAGGCGGCCACCUGGACGGCGACUGACGCUGAGACGCGAAAGCGUGGGGAGCAAACAGG